UACGUAGGGGGCAAGCGUUGUCCGGAUUUAUUGGGCGUAAAGAGCGUGUAGGCGGUUUUUUAAGUGGGGUGUGAAAUCCCUGGGCUUAACCCAGGAAUUGCAUUCCAAACUGGAAGACUAGAGUGCAGGAGAGGAAAGUGGAAUUCCAAGUGUAGCGGUGAAAUGCGUAGAGAUUGGAGGAACACCAGUGGCGAAGGCGACUUCUGGACGUGUAACUGACGCUGAGGCUCGAGAGCGUGGGGAGCAAACAGG
rnacentral:rRNA from 1 species